rnacentral:tRNA from 1 species
AAAAUUUUAGUUUAAAUUUAAAACAUUUUAUUUACAUUAAAAUAAUAAUUUUUUAAUUAAAUUUUA